CCCCCAGGAUCCCCAAAUUUCACCCCCCAGGACCCUCAAAUUCACCCUCAGGACCCCCAACUAUUCCCCCUGCCAGGAACCCCAAAUUCACUCCCCAAAUUCACCUUCCAGGACCCCCAAAUUCACUCUUAGGACCCCCAAAUUUCACCCUCAGGACCCCCAAAUAUUCCCUCCCCAAGACCCCCAAAUUCACCCCCCAAAUUUCACCCUCAGGACCCCCAAAUAUUCCUUUAUGGAACCCCCCCCCAACCCCCCCCAGGCUCUUGGGACAAUUUUGGGGGUUCCCCCUCCCCUCCCCGAAUUUUGGGGGGCUCGGGGGGGUCCCCAAAUUUGCCCCCUCCCCACAGUGGAGAUCGUGGCCAACUACGCCGAGGGCACGGCCCGGGUCACACAGGUGGGGGGUCCUGGGGGGUUUUGGGGGGUCCUGGGGGGGUUUUGGGGGGUUUUGGGGUACUUAAAGGGGUCGGGGGGGGGUUUGGGGGUGCUAGGAGGGGUUUUGGGGGGUCCUGAGGUGUUUUGGGGGGUCCUGGGGGUAUUUGGGGGGUCCUGGGGGUUGGGUUUUAUGGGAUUUUGGGGCUCAUUUUGGGGUGGGUUUUUUGGGGAGGGGUCUUUAACCCUUCCCUCCCCAGUGUGGGGUGGACCCCAGUUUUUGGGGGGAUUUAUGGGAUUUUUGGGGUGGUUAUUUUGGGGAGGGGUCUUUAGCCCCCCCUUUAACCCUUCCCUCCCCAGCGUGGGGUGAACCCCAGUUUUUGGGGGGGAUUUAUGGGAUUUUGGGGCUCAUUUUAGGGUGGGUUUUUUGGGGAGGGGUCUUU
rnacentral:lncRNA from 1 species